UAAUACAAUUAUAAACAUAAUUUCAUGCUUAAUGAAAUAUAAAUGAUGCAAUUGAAUGGUGCACUCCAAAGAUAUCUCCCUAUCAAUCAACUGUCUUCCCAACACUUCCAUUUUUCCCGUGUGCUUUAGGUAUUUUGUUUGAAAUGUGGCUCUUGUUUUGACUUGAUUUGCAGACAGCAGGCAGCAGGUAUUUCAUCCUGUCCCUAAGGAUGUCAGCCUGAUGGUGAGGUGUCAUCACAAUUUAAACUGGGUGUCUUUUUGCUGGUAUGGGGCCGUUUUAUCUCCUGAGAUCUGGAUUCAGAGCACUGCCUCUUGAGUGAGCACAGCACAGCCUGUCCUCACCCCUGCAGCAGCAAAGCCCCACAACAAGAAAACACAUCCCUGAACGGCUCUGCUUUCACUGCAGCCUGCUUCCCACCACACCAGCAGAGACAGGAUGAUUUGCUGCUGACAACAUCAAAAGAUGGCUGUGGGCAGCUGAUGAGGAUGUUUGAUUUUCUGAGUGAUCUGGGAUCUGCUAAUAAUCAAACACAUGAACACAUACUUCUUGCUAUUUUUUUGAAUUAUCAUCUUUAUCGCUGAUAUAAUUAUUCACUUUUUGAAUUACAGCAGUAAUUUCUCUCCCACUUUGACCAGCUGGCUCAUAACACCCACUGAUGGCAUCAUGGAAAACCUGGUGUACAGCUGCAUGACUUGCAGCCACAAACAGAGAAGAGUGGGGUUUGUGAGCUGGUUCACCACAGACUGAUGCAGUGGACAUGAAGAAUGAAAAAAUUGCCACCUUUCUGAACUUGGAGGAAUGCAGAAUGGGUGCACAACUUUGUGAAGCACAG